AGACAAACGGACAGUGGACAGAUUGCAGAGAGCUCUGUGUGCUGAGAGGAGGGUGCAGACCAGAUUUUUAAAUUGAGAAUGCAACAGUGAAGGAUUUCAAGCUUGGAGUGAGAGGGGAGACUACGAGCCUGCAGUGAUAAGGCAAAGCUGAAGAUUUCAGAGCCAAGGCCACACCCUACAGUUGCCAUGGAAUGGGGUGGCACAGUGGGCUUUGGAGGUAAAGUCUGCAGUUGAGAAGUUCAAGGGUAGUAAGUACUUAAUGCCAGGUCAAUCAUCCCUUUUAAGACACAGAUAUCAUCUGCAGCGUUUUCAGGAACAGCGAUAGAGAAGAAAAGCGGGCAGCUACUAGAUAUUCAAAUCUUCCACAAAUGUCAGGGAGAGAGUCAGGCAGUUGGUAGAAGAGACCUGUAAAGCUGGGUACCAUAAGCCUCAACACAGGUGUUUUUAUUUCAAGGCUGGGGAGCUGUGCUUUGGAAAAGCAAUGAGGAGGUAACAGGAAGUCUCUUCUCCUUCUAAAUCCUGUGUUCAUGGAGGAGGGUGGGUUUUCUCCUCUUGAGAGGGAGUUACAUACAAGUUUAAGGGAAAAGAGUCUGAAGUUUCCACCUAAAUGAUUCUGAAAGAAUCAGAUAUACAGGGAGUCCACGGAGCCUCCCCUGCAAGCAUCAGUACAGAAGUCGAUGAUAAUCUGGAUGCAAGCCCAGGAGUGUGGAGUCCACUGACUCAGAAGACCUGCAUCUAAGGAAUUGGCUGUUCUUAUCCUUAAGAAUGAUGACUGUGUUUCCAAUUCCAGUAGACCCUUUGAUGCGUUCUGAAUAAAUAUUCCUUUUGGAAUUGAACUUCUAGAGCCCUUAACUUUGGCCCACUCUAGUUUUCUGUCUGUUUUUUUUUUUUUUAAUAUUUUUUUUUUGUAAAGAUAAGGUCUUGCUUUGUUGCCCAGGCUGGUCUUGAAUUCCUGGACUCAAGCAAUCCACCUGCCUUGGCCUCCCAAAGUGCUGGGAUUAUAGGUGUGAACCAUUGUGUCCGAUCGCUCUCUGGUUUUUCUAAUAUCAUGAUCCCAACUCUGUUCUUUAUGUAAAUUUCCCUGAUCACAUGGUUGUAUCUUGGCAUUUCAAAAUCCUUGACAGACUUUGUUUUGUUUGAAUUUUACAAUGAACUUACAUGACUAGGCACGGUCCCCAGUUCAGUUUUAUAGACAAGGAUUCUGUAGGUCAAGAAGUGAAACACAACCAAUAACAGCAGGUGACAGGAUUUAAACCUGGGUCACUUUACUUAUUUUUUUCUACUCUAUCAUUAUGUGAAUCUAUCCUACCUCUGCAAUGACAGAUGGCCCUAGAGCAAGAACACUUCCUUACAUCUGGUAUACAGUCAAAAAGUAAAAAUUCCACACAAAUAAAUAUGGAAAGAAUUUUUACCUGCUCCUAUAGCUUCCUUUCAGGGACCUGGCACCCACAAAUGUUGGGUAACAGAAAGAGGACUUAUGUAACUUAACUCAAAGCAGAAAAGUUACAGAGACUGUCUUAGCAUAAUAGAGCAUGGAGUGGUCAUGCUUGGAUGUGCAAACUGUCUGAUAGUCUUGCACAUGGCUUGACCCCGAAUUACACUAGUGGGGCAAGUUGCCUGGGGCAAAGCAAACUUAUUGGACCCAAAGCUCUCAUUUGAGAAUUUUGUUGACUAAAAGUUAUAAAAUAUCAGCAAUUUCAUAU
rnacentral:lncRNA from 1 species